UGACGACCGGCGCACGGGUGAGUAACGCGUAUACAAUCUGCCUUGUACAGGAGUAUAGCCCAGGGAAACUUGGAUUAAUCCUCCAUAGUCUAUAUAAAUAGCAUUAUUAAUAUAGUAAAGAUUUAUCGGUACAAGAUGAGUAUGCGUCCUAUUAGUCUGUUGGUAAGGUAACGGCUUACCAAAACUACGAUAGGUAGGGGCCCUGAGAGGGGGAUCCCCCACACUGGUACUGAGACACGGACCAGACUCCUACGGGAGGCAGCAG
rnacentral:rRNA from 1 species